rnacentral:lncRNA from 1 species
GUUUUUUUUCUUACACUUGAAAUUCAUAACUCCUAAUGGGCAAUCCAGCUGAAUUAUAUUUCCAUAUGGUUAAAGAAAAAAUGACCAGUCAUUGAGAAAGAUAAAGACAUUUUCCAGUCAACCAUUAACAUCAGAACACAUACACCUUGUUUUAUUUGGCAAUUGGCCUCUGCUUUUUCAACUCCAACGCAAUGCUAACUUAAUAAUACAGAAGACAGUUCACUGACAGGGAGACCAUUCUGCCCCACCAGAACAGCGACACAAUUUAAAAUCGUUUCAAUUCUCAGUCAAGAAAGCCAGAAAUCCCUUUGGUCGUUGGAGGAAAUGGUUUCUGGAUCCUCCCUGGUAAAAUACAGGAAUUCACCCUCCCAUCAUGCAGCAGGUACGUCAGAGUUCAGCUUCUGUGGCAGUUUCCUCUGAGAACAUUUGCAAAGAGAGAUGCUCCCUGCGUACUCUCACAGUCUGGAGCAGAAAAGGGAUUGUGAUAAACUCCAGAAGAUGGGAUUCUUCAUAGUUGUCCUCAGUGUCUUUCCUCCUCUAAUUUGACAAAAUCAGGACUCACAUUUCAGGCUUCUUGCCUCCCCAAGCUGCAGCCACACCAGUAACUUUGUGCAAGCGCAGGUCUCAGUCACAGCCUUGAGCACGUGCAUGGUCUUGAAUGUGAUCACAGAUACAGACAGUUAACGAAUCAACACUCCUGCAUCAAUGGAUUCCUCUCUGGCUGGUAAAUAAAUCACAUUUGCUUUAUUUAAUUCUGUCUUCAAAAUUGUGCUCAAGACUUCCUUCCACCAUGAAGCUUGAAUUCAUCACUCACAUCCAAUUAUCCAAUAAAUUCAGCUCUUCACCAUUCCCAUUGUUCCCCAUUAUAACCUUUUUAGCCCUGAGAGUAUCCAUAGACCCCUUUAAAAAUGUGUGUGUGCACAUAUGUGUGCAUGCGUGCAUGCACAUGUGUGUGAGUGUGCAUAUGAGUGCAUGUGUGUGUGUGUGUGUGUUUCUGCUACCUCUAUUUGAAAACACAGGUAGCCACUGCACGGCCAUAUUAAUAUAUGUUGAUGGAUAAGUUUUAAAGCACAGAUAAUGCUCAUGUUUGCACAGGUGCAUACACUCACCAUCGCUGGAAGCUACCUAAGAACAAUUGUGAAGAUCUGAAAGCUGACAGACAGGUCAAUGAUUUUCACAGUCCAAGUUGAAGCAGAACAGCCAGGAGAGAGGAAGGGCUCUGGGUCACAGCUACCGGGAAAAUCCAGAAGCUUUUGGCAGCUGCCUUGCACCCUCCCAUCUUCAAGCUCUGGGCAGCGGUCGUUCCCUGGUGUCUGGAUCUGGGCACUGGCAUCAGAGUGAGAGGAAGCUUGAUACAGGCUCUUUGUCUCUAGUUUAACAAAGCACAGAGAUAGGACAUAAACUCAUGUCCACACGCUCCAGGAAAGCAUGCGUGUCCACGGCCGUUCUCAGAGAAAAUGAGAGAGCCCAGAGUCCUCAAGAAAACCUCUAAACACAUCAGUCAUCCGGCUCUCAGCAAUUGGAAUGUCCAGCGAUGCCGCAUGACACGUGGUUCCUGUCCUCAGGCAGUAGCAGGACAUGCAAAGUAGAAGUGCAUAGCAUGGAGCAGGGGGUGGAGGAAGAAAGCCUGGAUUCCGGCCGGAUCCUCCAGGGAACGGGCAGUGAAGCCAUCACAGGCGGUGGCUUUGGAACUGAACGCUGAGGGUGUAACUGUCUGACUCACGGAGGAUGGAGAAAGG